UUGUGGCACCGUUGAGCUGUAGUGAGGUGACGUUGGGGCUUUGUCUGUUAUCUCGCGUAGUUUUAUUAGUGUUCAAAUUACUACGUUUCUCGGCAUCUUGAAUCGUGUACUUCAGCAACGAUGGAGUGUCCAUAUAGUUUGGAUGGUCGUCGGGUUCGGUCAUUAGCGGAAUUUUUGGAUGGGUGACUUUGUGAUGUUUCAAAGGUGCAGUGAGGUGAAGGACAGAAUGAGUCUACAGCAACCAGACGAGUUUGAAGACUACAACCCCACGAGGUGAAUGGUAACUAUACCAUUGUAAAUGAUUGACGAGUUUCUGGUGGAGUCGAUAAAUGGACUCACGCUUAAUUUAUCGGCAGACCCUCAUCACAUUCCACAAUAGCAGAUAUCUUUUUAUCCUACACCAACGGCACUUGUAUGCCUGUACGUGCUGUAAUAAGGAUUUCUCUGGAGUUUCAAGGCUAUGCGCACGCCGUAGAUUUGUGAACGAUUUCCUCGACAAUAAACUUGUGAUUUCAUGAAAAUUAAUUAGCUUUCAUGAUUUCAUUUUCCC